rnacentral:miRNA from 1 species
AUAUGGUAUUCCAUAGUUAGAGUGUGUAGCACAUGUGUGUGCAUGUGUAUGUGUGUAUAUAUAUAUAUAUAUAUAUAUAUA